UACGUAGGGUGCGAGCGUUGUCCGGAAUUACUGGGCGUAAAGAGCUCGUAGGUGGUUUGUCGCGUUGUCCGUGAAAACUCACAACUCAAUUGUGGGCGUGCGGGCGAUACGGGCAGACUGGAGUACUGCAGGGGGAGACUGGAAUUCCUGGUGUAGCGGUGGAAUGCGCAGAUAUCAGGAGGAACACCGGUGGCGAAGGCGGGUCUCUGGGGCAGUAACUGACGCUGAGGAGCGAAAGCGUGGGGAGCGAACGG
rnacentral:rRNA from 1 species